UUCAAAAACAUAGCUUUAGGGGAGGGAAUCUAAGGUGGUUUCUGCCCGGUGCGAAAGUAAACGGCCGCUAGUGCGCUAAGGUAGCAUAAUAAGUUGUUCUUUAAUUGGGGACUGGUAUAAAUGGGGGUUUAUGGGUAAGCUUUUUUGUCUUCAACUAUAAAAAUUAAACUCUUUAUGAAAAUGUAAGGAUUUUAUUUAGGGACCAAAAGACCCUAGCGAGCUUUAAUCCUGGAGGAUUAUUUUUUAAGGGAUUUUUAUUGGGAGGGUAUUGGGUACACACCCAAAUUUUAAUAUUAAUUCUAUAAUGUAGAAAAAGGUGAAGCUACCGUAGGGAUAACAGGCUACCACUUUUUAAGAGUCCGUAUCUAAAAAAGUGCUUAGCACCUCGAUGUUGGCUUAAGGGACUACUAGGGUGUAUCAGUUCUAGUAAGAGGCUUGUUCCGCCUUGUUAACCUUACGUGAUCUGAGUUCAAACCGGA
rnacentral:rRNA from 1 species